GUUGGUGAACCAGCGGAGGGAUCAUUAAAGAGUUGCAAAACUCCCAAACCAUUGUGAACAUACCUUCAACGUUGCUUCGGCGGGUUGGCCCCGGUCUCCGGGGUCCCCGGCCCUACUCGGGCGCCCGCCGGAGGCCAAAAAACCACUGUGUAUUAUGUUUUCUUCUGAGUUAAACAAGCAAAUAAAUCAAAACUUUCAACAACGGAUCUCUUGGUUCUG
rnacentral:misc_RNA from 1 species